rnacentral:rRNA from 1 species
UAGCGGCGGACGGGUGAGUAACACGUGGGCAACCUGCCUACAUACGAGAGGAAUAGCCUUCCGAAAGGGAGAUUAAUACCUCAUAACAUUGCAGUUUCGCAUGAAACAGCAAUUAAAGGAGCAAUCCGCUAUGAGAUGGGCCCGCGGCGCAUUAGCUAGGUUGGUGAGGUAACGGCUCACCAAGGCGACGAUGCGUAGCCGACCUGAGAGGGUGAUCGGCCACAUUGGGACUGAGACACGGCCCAGACUCCUACGGGAGGCAGCAGUGGGGAAUAUUGCACAAUGGGGGAAACCCUGAUGCCAGCAACGCCGCGUGAGUGAUGACGGCCUUCGGGUUGUAAAGCUCUGUCUUCAGGGACGAUAAUGACGGUACCUGAGGAGGAAGCCACGGCUAACUACGUGCCAGCCGCCGC